rnacentral:tRNA from 1 species
GGGGGUAUAGCUCAGUUGGUAGAGCGCUUGCAUGGCAUGCAAGAGGUCAGCGGUUCGAUCCUGCUUACCUCCACCA